GUGCCUAACACAUGCAAGUCGAGCGAGAAAGCCCGCAAGGGUGAGUAAAGCGGCGCACGGGUGCGUAACACGUGGGUAAUCUGCCCUGGAGUCCGGAAUAACUCGCCGAAAGGCGUGCUAAUGCCGGAUGAGACCACGGGAGCCUUGGCUCCUGCGGAAAAAGGUGGCCUCUGUACACAAGCUAUCACUCCAGGAUGAGCCCGCGGCCCAUCAGCUAGUUGGCGGGGUAAUGGCCCACCAAGGCUACGACGGGUAGCUGGUCUGAGAGGACGAUCAGCCACACUGGAACUGAGACACGGUCCAGACUCCUACGGGAGGCAGCAGUGGGGAAUCUUGCGCAAUGGGCGAAAGCCUGACGCAGCAACGCCGCGUGUGUGAUGAAGGUCUUCGGAUCGUAAAGCACUGUCGCGAGGGACGAAUAAGGGCUGGGUGAACAAUCCAGUCCGAUGACGGUACCUCGAGAGGAAGCACCGGCUAACUCUGUGCCAGCAGCCGCGGUAA
rnacentral:rRNA from 1 species